UACGUAGGGGGCAAGCGUUGUCCGGAUUCAUUGGGCGUAAAGAGCGUGUAGGCGGCCAGGUAGGUCGGUUGUGAAAACUGGAGGCUCAACCUUCAGACGUCGACCGAAACCAUCUGGCUAGAGUCCGGGAGAGGAGAGUGGAAUUCCUGGUGUAGCGGUGAAAUGCGCAGAUAUCAGGAAGAACACCCGUGGCGAAGGCGGAUCUCUGGGCCUGUCCUGACGCUCAGGCGCGAAAGCUAGGGGAGCGAACAGG
rnacentral:rRNA from 1 species